AGUAAUAGUAGUAGUAGUUAGCAGUAAUAGUUGAAGGGGGGAAUAUUAGUGUCCAGCCCCUAAAUUAGGAUUUGGAGGAGGUUAAGGAUUUUAAUAGAUUUUCAAUGUUCUAGGGAAUGUAUUUUAGAUAUGAGAGCAGCCAUUAGGAAAGCAGAGAUUGUAGAAGGCCAUUGUUCUAUUUCUCUUCCAUUUCACCACCAAGCACUCAGAAAAAUAGUGUCUUUGUCUUCUAUCUCUUCUACCUAAUUACCCAUUCACUUAACAUUUGCCACGUAGGUUUCUAUCUCCAUUGUUCCAUGAGAAGAUUCAGAUUUUUGAACAUGGCCAAUGCAGGAAUUUCUUUUUCUUAACUUUGCAUAUUUGUAACAGGUUUGGAUUUGUUCGUUUGUUUCUUUGUUGAGAGGAGGAAAGGUAGGAGAGAAAAUAAUUGCUCGUUAACUAGAAAAUCAAUUAAUUGUUUUUAGAAAAUCUGAUUUUUCUGGUCAAAUGGGUGGAGGAAGGCCCGAGCAACCCUCCUGGGUGAAUGAAAGGACAUUUAUAUUCUCUCUCUCUCUUCAUAUAUCUAUCUAUCUAUCUAUAGGCAUAUAUUCUAAUCUGGCUUGAGUGACUUGGUCUCUCUGUUCCCUGGGUAAGAAUUUGUAAGGUUAGAGUUCAACAGAAGUGGUCCUUAAAUGGGUUCAUUUCACUGAGAUGAGAUCCCUAAAACAUUGCAAAGAUGCUUGUUAAGCAUCUCCUCUGUGCACAAGACCUGACUAGACGCCAUGCCUAACGUUGACUCAGUGCUUUAAAUUUGCAAAGCAUUUUGUAUACAUUGGUUCUCCUGAUCCUUUCACAAACCCUGUGAGGGGGUUGCUAUUAUUAUCCCCAUUUUUGAGAUGAGGAAGAUGAAGCAGAGAAGGGAAGCAUCUUGCUAGUAAACCUCUGAGGUAGGAUUUGAAUUUGUCCAUACAUCAGCUCCAAUCCAGCACUCUGGUUACUGUGGUUAUUUUACUGCCUAGCCUAGAAUGUGCUCUGGAGGGACCAGUUCUUAGUUAUGGCCAAGGACGGAGGCUGGCUAAGGGUUUGUGUGACCCAGUUCUGGAGGGAAAAAUCUCAGGCCCAAGCAUCUUCCCCUCCAGGUACCUUGUAUCUAUUUCACAACUGUUCUGUAUAUGCUGCAAGUACAAGCUGCCUCCUUUCUGUUUAUUUAUAACAGUGCCUUCAGUACAGGGGCUGUUUUCCCAUUUGUUUCCCCAGUGUCUAGCACACAGCUGAUGCUUACUAAAUGUUUCUGGGUGGGCCGAUGGAUGGGUGCGAUGAUGCACCUGGUACCUUAAGGGAGGCUGGAGGAGGGACUGCAUGUCCAGCCCCCUAUACUUGACAGGAGAUGUGGCUACAUUCCUUGAGUGGAUUAUCUAGGAACUAGUGUCCUGAGAGUUGGGUUGGACUGGAGAAGACAGAGGGAAAUAAUAAUUCAGAACAAUCAUAACUGCUGCCAAGAGAUUAAUAGCAAUGACUAUGACUGCUGGCUUUCACGUAGAAGCGUUGAUGCAUUCAUGAACUCAGAGAUGAAAAGUAUCUACCAUAAGCUCCUUUUACCCAGCACAGGAGCAGGAGUGAUUCUAGCGAAUGCAGGAGUGUGCUGGAGAUCUUCCUGGCUGCACUGGACAGAGAAAUCUCUGGGACCAAAAAAAGGCUCUGGCAAAGGCUGGGAAGUAUAUGAGCAACGCCUGACGCCACCUGGACAAGGCUGACCAGCAGGAUGGGCUUGGACCUUGGAUUUUUAAAGCACAAGAAGAAAUCUAUAAGCUGAGGGAUCCAAGGCUGCCGUGGAACACUUCUGUUUGAGCUGGCCUGACCCUGGCUCUGGAAAUGCCUGGUGCUGGGAUCCAGGGACCAUGCAGAGCCCACCCUUAGCUUUCACUUGUCUUCCCACUUCUGCAAUAAAUAUGUGAUAAACACUGGAUUACUUUGCUUUAUAUAACACAGGUAUUGUAUUUCAUUCCAUAGAAGGUAAGUCCCUGCCUCCAGUUCUUUUGAAUCAUUGUCAUGUGGGUUUCACCCAAGCAGUGAUUCUAUUUUUUCUUUGAUGUUCUUCUUUCCCCCAAAACCACAAUUUGUUAUCCUUAACUUUCUCAAUUUAAAUGAUCCAGUUUAAAAUGAAAUUUGGAAAAUCUUUUCAUGAAGAGGAUAAUUCUUUCAUAAAAGGAACUCAUCUUAGUAAAUCAAGAUGUACAUUGUCAUUUUUAAGCUUUUAAUGUAUCAUGUGACAGGAUCAGAGAUUUAGAACUGGAAGGUACUUCAAAGGUCAUUGAGCCAAGCCCAUUUUAUAGAUGAGGCCUCUGAAGACACAAAAUGACAGGCCAGGUGAGCAUGGUGAACAUCCCAUGAAGCUUCUCUGAAGUUGUUUUAAUCUUUAUUCCUUCAUUUCCUUCACUAGUGGGAGAAAGAUACAACAUCCAACACCACACAUAGAUCACAAGAUGAGCGUUAGAAGAAACUUUGGGGAUGAUCUGGUCUAGCUGCUUUGUUUUACAGAUAUGGAAACUGAGGCCCAGAGAAGCUGACUUGCCCAAAGGCUCACAGAUGA